GGCCCUGAUGAAAACGGUACUCUUCUUUCCCAGUCCGAUUCGACCAUGACGAUGGGUUUUUGCCAUGCUCUUGCAUCUUCGGAUGCUCUAUAGAGCUUUACUUGCCAGUAUAUUUUCAUAUACGCUCAAGUUCCUGAGCC
rnacentral:snoRNA from 1 species